UUACCUACGGGGCGCAGCAGUGGGGGAUAUUGCACAAUGGGGGCAACCCUGAUGCAGCGACGCCGCGUGAGCGAUGGAGUACUUCGGUAUGUAAAGCUCUGUCAGCAGGGAAGAAAAUGACGGUACCUGACUAAGAAGCCCCGGCUAACUACGUGCCAGCAGCCGCGGUAAUACGUAGGGGGCAAGCGUAAUCCGGAUUUACUGGGUGUAAAGGGAGCGUAGGCGGUUUAGCAAGUCAGAAGUGAAAGCCCGGGGCUCAACUCCGGGACUGCUUUUGAAACUGUUGAACUAGAUUGCAGGAGAGG
rnacentral:rRNA from 1 species